AUACAGUGGAAUUUUCCAGAGACUCCAUUUUGUGUGACAUUGCAACAGAUUGAAGGCUGAGGCAGAUCUGAGAAUCCAGCUGUCUUCUACUAAGCCAGACAUUAAAGAGUACGCUGGCCUCUCGCUGUUGUGGCCUCUCCCGUUGUGGAGCACAGGCUCUGGACGCACAGGCUCAGCAGCCAUGGCUCACGGGCCUAGCUGCUCCGCGGCAUGUGGGAUCUUCCCGGACCAGGGCACGAACCCGUGCCCCUUGCAUUGGCAGGCAGACUCUCAACCACUGCGCCACCAGGGAAGCCCUAUACAUCUUUUUAAUGUGAACGUCUUAGUGUCUUUAGGGGAAUUCCUUGGUUUGAUCUUCAUGUCACUAGUUUCUUCUGAGCUGUGGUAUUCUGGUAACACCCUAUUUUUUUUUAAAGGAGGUGGGUCAAAAAGGAUUGGCAGGUGGAUUCUUAACCACUUCACCACCAGG